GAUGAACGCUGGCGGCGUGCUUAACACAUGCAAGUCGAACGAUGAAGCCCAGCUUGCUGGGUGGAUUAGUGGCGAACGGGUGAGUAACACGUGAGUAACCUGCCCUUAACUCUGGGAUAAGCCUGGGAAACUGGGUCUAAUACCGGAUAGGAGCGUCCACCGCAUGGGGGGUGUUGGAGAGAUUUAUCGGUUUUGGAUGGACUCGCGGCCUAUCAGCUUGUUGGUGGGGUAAUGGCUCACCAAGGCGACGACGGGUAGCCGGCCUGAGAGGGUGACCGGCCACACUGGGACUGAGACACGGCCCAGACUCCUACGGGAGGCAGCAGUGGGGAAUAUUGCACAAUGGGCGCAAGCCUGAUGCAGCGACGCCGCGUGCGGGAUGACGGCCUUCGGGUUGUAAACCUCUUUCAGUAGGGAAGAAGCGAAAGUGACGGUACCUGCAGAAGAAGCACCGGCUAACUACGUG
rnacentral:rRNA from 1 species